rnacentral:rRNA from 1 species
CGAGUCAUUGUAGCAUACAAGGCAGACGGCUCAGUAACGCGUAGUCAACCUACCCUAUGGACGGGAAUAACCUCGGGAAACUGAGUAUAAUGCCCGAUAGAACAUUAUGCCUGGAAUGGUUUAUGUUCCAAAUGAUUUAUCGCCAUAGGAUGGGACUGCGGCCUAUCAGUUUGUUGGUGAGGUAAUGGCCCACAAAGACUAUUACAGGUACGGGCUCUGAGAGGAGUGGCCCGGAGAUGGGUACUGAGACACGGACCCAGGCCCUAUGGGGCGCAGCAGGCGAGGAAACUUUGCAAUGUGCGAAAGCACGACAAGGUUAAUCCGAGUGGUUUCUGCUAAAGGAACCUUUUGACAGUCCUAGAAACACUGUUGAAUAAGGGGUGGGCAAGUUCUGGUGUCAGCCGCCGCGGUAAAACCAGCACCUCAAGUGGUCAGGAUGAUUAUUGGGCCUAAAGCAUCCGUAGCCGGCUCUGUAAGUUUUCGGUUAAAUCUGUACGCUCAACGUACAGGCUGCUGGGAAUACUGCAGAGCUAGGGAGUGGGAGAGAUAGACGGUACUCGGGAGGAAGUGGUAAAAUGCUUUG